ensembl:lncRNA
AGGAACUCCCGCUGAAGAGACUGAGACACAUCAUUAUCAAGAUGGAGUUUAUUAAAGAGGAGAGAGAAGACGUGAAGAUUGAAGACACAUUCAGAGUCAAACAUGAAGAGACUGAGGAACAAACAGCGAUGGUGUCAGUUAAAGAGGAGAGUGAAGACGUGAAGAUUGAAGACACAUUCAGAGUCAAACAUGAAGAGACUGAGGAACAAACAGAGAUGGUGUCAGUUAAAGAGGAGAGAGAAGACGUGAAGAUUGAAGACACAUUCAGAGUCAAACAUGAAGAUACUGAGGAACAAACAGAGAUGGUGUCAGUUAAAGAGGAGAGAGAAGAAGUGAAGACUGGAGAAAUAUUCAGAGUCAAACAUGAAGAGACUGAGACAGACACUAUUACAAAGAUGGAGUUUAUUAAAGAGGAGACUGAGGACAUGAAGAUUGAAGAAACAUUCACAGUCAAACUUGAAGAUACUGAGAAACCAACGAAGAUGGAGUCAGUUAAUGAAGAGAGAGAAGUGAAGAUUGAAGAAGUAUUCAGUCUGAAAUAUGAAGAGACUGAGACACAAACAGAUCAUCUACAUCAUCUGCUCCUCUUCAAGAUGAAGCUGAAAUGGCGGCUUUAUUAGCUAGUCAGCAAAUACUGCAACAGAAGCACACUGUGGAAGAGGAGCGCUUAAGAAAAUAUAUAUAGUAUUUCACAAUACUUCAUGCUAUUCUAAUUAAUCAUUUUUUGGAGUCUUGCGUCUCUCAGAACCUGACACCUUUUAAUUAUGUUGUGGCGAAGAACAUUCCUUGAAUUCCUGUACCAUAUUAGUAGAGAUUGUUAGAAGUGUAUUAUAUGCUGAGUGUGUGGCUUUAAACAUAGUCGUGUUUAUGGUGCAUGUGUUUUUUCAUGUUCCCAUACUGUAUUCCAAAAAGGAGCAUAGUAUGGGUGUUGGUUUUUUUGUAAUGGUAUGCUGUAUUUCUUCCUCUAUUCCUUGUCUUCCUGUUCUGGUACAUGUGACUAGUGAAAAUAAAGGGCUUCUGCUACUACUACUAAUGGCUGACAUUGAGUCUAUGUUCUAUCAGGUAAAGGUUCCUGUAGAAGAUAAUGACCUUUUAAGGUUUCUAUGGUGGCCAAAAGUCAACUUGAGUGAAGGCUUAGAGCAGGUGUGUCAAACAUACGGCCCACAGAGGUGUCCAAUAUGCAGCAUGAGGAUAUGAUGAAAGCUGCGUUGUAACUGAUGCUUGUGUGGCAAUUUUCUUGUGAUUUUAAACAUGUCCAAAAGAAGACAUUUGGCCUGGAAUGACAGACAGGCUAUUUAAGGAGAGAUGGAAAAAAGGUAUUAUUAUUUCAACGCCAACAUGUAAGUUUAAUCAUAACUUGUGGCUAAUAUUAAAUUACACUGAACGCACUGGAUAGCUUUGUAUGGAGAAAGUAAAUGAACAAGGAGUGUGCAAUAUUUAUUGUGUACUUAUAUCCUAACUGUUGUCUUAAUGAUGUGCGAACUGAGAUUUUGUGACCUUUUUUGUAAAAAAACAUUGUUAGUGUUUUUCAGUGUCGGAUGAAGGCUAUCAGGUUACAAUAUAAUUCAAGAUAUGAGGCAAAAAUGCCCUGUAUUGUUUUUCAUAUUUGUCAUGAUCGUUAAGUAAUGUUUAACUAUAACAAGAGUGUUGCUUUCCCGAAUGUCAGCGUGAUCGCUUUUAUGCAGUAGCUCAACUAAAAAGAUGCUAAGGGGCCGUUCAAAUAUUGCACCUAAAAAUGUGUGUAAAACGCUAGGCGCGUAGCUUUCUCCUUCUUUCCAAAACGCUCAGGCAGUUGAACUCCUGAGGCGUCUGUCAUUGCUAAGUAACCAUGACCCACUCUCUCCAUGAACACACAGAAAUUUGAGCAAUGGAUAAAUGGAUUUGCAGCUCUAAGAAUCGCUUGCAGCAGCUCUACUACUAAAUUUAUUUUAAAAUGGCUAUCCAUAUACAGCUAUGGCUGAGCUUUCAAUGUUGUCAAGGAAAGGAUGAAGCUGAUGGUUAGUUCUUGUCACAUGACCCGCGGUGCGCUUGUGGCAUUCUGAAUAGUUGAGAUGUUUUUAACUCGAUGUGGUGCGGACGCGCCUGGAAAAAAUGAGCGCAUCACACCACGUGCGCGUUGCGACCGUGUCACUUCCAUUAUGAGCGUGCAUACUGUGCGUCUACAUUGUGUGACCAGAUGCUCACCUCCAGGUUGUUCACUAUAUGAUUAAAUUGAUUGCCCUUUGCCGCUGACCAAUUUCCUUUUCAUCUUUGUGACAUGUCAUUUCCGAUCAGCCAUAAAUAGCCCCUUUUUAUUCAAAUUGAUACAAUGAGGCCAAAAGACUCUGACUACAAAAUUACUAUGUGCUCCAUUAAAUACCAGUGCAAUUCUAGGCAUGGAUCUACUCAGACAAGUACAUCUAACUUUAGACAUCCUCAGAAUCUGCUAGCAUUAAAAUUUCCUCAGCACAAGUUUCUAACAAUAACGUAUUAACUCCUGAAUAUGCUUUCUUACAGAAUCAUCCAAUUUGGGCUAAAGACAAGGAUGAUUUUGGGUUUUUGACAGGUGUAGAACCAGUCAAAUUGACAGGAACUCCACCUCCUGUUACCAAGCAAUAUCCUAUCAGUAAGGAAGCUAUACAGGGGAUAAAACCUAUUGUUGAAGCAAGGAGUGCUAUUUAACCCUCUGGAGUCUAAGGGUAUUUUUGGUGCCUGGAGAAAUUUUGUCAUGCCCUGACAUUUGUGCUUUUUUCAGUUUCUUAUAAAUAUCUAAAUGGGUAAAGUCUAGUCUCACUGUAAUCAGCACAAACUGGGCUAUAAUAAUGUGAAAUGCAUGUAUGUACAUGAUUGUGUUUUUGAGAAAAAAAAAAUAUUAUGCAUGGUUAAUGAAAAACUAAAAAUGUUAAAACAUUUGAAUAAGGCCAUAAAACACAUACAUAACAUUGUUUCCCGGGACUGUUGAGAACUGGAGCUUGUAGCCUAGAAUUUUUCUUCCUAAAUUAUGUGAAAAUCAUCUUGUUUACUCACUCACAGAAAACAAUAUAUUGAUUUAAAUUUUCUAUGACAGUUUUUGUUGGUAAAAGUCAUAUGCGAGUAGGCAUCAACUAUCAUGAAUAUCAUUGUGAUUUACACCUGAAAAGACAAAGGCCUGCAUAAUGAGCUGCAUAAUGAGCUGCAUAAUGAGCCCUCAGUCAGCUGUGUCAUUGAGAGGGAGGAGUUACAAGAAAGAAUGUGAGAAUAAAAUAAAAGUAUAUAAUUUUAUGUUUGUAGUUUAUUAAGAAUAUAUUUAAUUAUCCCACAACAUGAUUUAAUAUCCACUUGGGGGAGCAGUUAAACCGUUUAUUAGAAACAAUCAGAGCUGACUUUCAAACAAAUUUUUAGGCAUCCUUACUCCAGUCACACAAUCCUUCAGAAAUCCUUUCAACAAUCUUAUUUUCUACCAAAAAAAAACCCCAUUUAUUAUCAUCAUCAUCAUUAUUAUUAUUAUUAUUAAUGUUGAAAAGAGCUGAGAAUAUUUUUCAGGUUUUUUAGGGGGAAUAAAUUGAAAGAACUGCAUUGUUUUUACAUUUGUUAGAGUUAUCUCUAUUUGUCACAUUUAUAUUAUUUACAUCAAGCUUUUGAAUGGUAUAGUAUUGUAUAUUGUUAUUGAAACUUCAUAAUGUUUCACUUGAUUAUACAUUUAGUCAGGAAUUAUAGUUUGGAAAAAGUAUUUGGAAAAAGUCUAUAAAAUAAAUAAAAAGUAUAUAAAUAAAUAAAAAGAGACUUACUCACGUUUAUGAUCUCUGCUGAAUAAAGUGCUUCAUUCUUUUUUUCUGAAGAAAUCCAUUUCUCAAAUCCUCAACCACAUCACAUCUUUUUGGGGUGAUUUAUGUCUUAUUCCUCUCAUUGCGAAGCAAACAGUAAAAUAAAAAAACUUGAACAGUCUCGCUGCUUUUUCUUCUGUUAUUGGAGUAUUCAAGUGGCGCGCUUCUGUUUGAAUCUGAAUAGCGCGUUCAGCGCGGGGGUGUGGUCACAUUAGAUAUAAUGAAGGGAGAAUAUCUGUUUUCGGCGGCACUUGUUUAGUCUAAAAUAAGACAUGUCAAGCUUUCUAUAGAUAUCUCUCUCAUGUCUCUUCGUUGAGUAUUCACGGAGUUACAGUUCAUUUUAAUGACGUGUUUGUAAAUGAAGAGCAGCGCAGACAAAGGCUGCAGACAGUGCACCUUGUUUGUUAUCUUUAUUUUAUAAGUGCACAAAGUUUUGUUGUUAUUAUGUCUGUAUCCGAAAAAAAAGUAGACCCUUUACAGAUUCGAUUGAUGUAUUGCCCUUAUCCGUACGAUUAAAACUGAGAGUGUAAUUUAAGUUCUUUUCGGGGUUAUCAGGAGAAAAAUGACUCAAAACGCAUAUAUGCGUUAAUCGACUCGAAAGGGUUAAAAACAAACAGUCCCUGUAACUCACACAUAUGGCCCAUCAAGAAACCUAAUGUGACAUGCAGACUCACCAUAGACUACAGAGUAGCCAAUAAAUAUAUUGAUAAAAUCACCCCCCAGUGGCAGAUCCAUCUACAAUUUGUAAUGGCUUACCAUUAGGUUGUAAAGUUUUUUUCUGUAAUCGAUAUGUCUAACUGAUUAUUUCCAUACCCUUGCAUACUCUGACAGCCCAACAAUAUCAGUGGACACUUUUGGCCAAG